CUAGAAAUCACAAAGUCAAGGAGAGAAAUCUUGAACGCAAGGGUGACCAGCUACUUCAUAAUCUAUAGGCGUACUUCGCGUGUGUUUUACGGACACAUGCUGCAACCGUUACUCAUCAAAGGACCCAAGACUUCAAAAUCGCCAUCAUGAACUUCAAUGUCCUGUGGGUGAUACUCCUCGUGAUGGUGGUAAGCUUCGCUUUCGUCGACGGGCAGAUCUUAAACAUGAACCGUAGAAGGUUCCCUGGCGAGCGGCGUUUCGGGGCCACCCAUUACAAAACACACUCAUACGGCAGCCAUGGUUACCAGAGCUAUUCGAAGGGUUAAGUGUGGUCCUAAACCAACUGAUCUGCGAAGGGCAGGGGUCCUCGUUGCUGCCAACGGGAUUCAUGGCCACUACCAACGCAGCAAGAGGACGCUGUCACGUGAAUUUCCGCUGGCUUCCAAAACUAACACUGAAACGGCAGAUAAUAUAUUUAAACCUUCUUGUUUUUGUUUUGUUGAAGUUGUUUAAAUCUCGGAGAUAAUUUAUGUAUAUGCUAAUGAAAGAAAAAUGUAUUUCUUUUUUUUCAAGAGCAUCUGUUGUUAUUGUCACAGAUAUUUAUUAGAACUAUUUAAUCUCUUUGUUUGGAUAUUUUCACGGUAAUCCUAUGGUGAUUUAUUUUUGUAACGAAUAUAUGAACUUUAUUUUUCUCGCUGUUUACAAGGGAAUGUUUGCGCUAAUAAGCUCUAACAGUGCUAGUUGUUAAGUUUAUUUAACACUUAUGUAACUUAAUCGGAGAGGUAAUAAUUUAUAGUCACUGUUGAAUUUUGGGCCACUAAUUCUAUAUAUAUAUAUAUAUAUAGUAUGUUAGUUCCCAUCAGUUUCCAUCAUCAAGACAGAUGUAUACUGUGAUUUCUCAACUAUCUUUACUCUGUAAAGAUAAAGGAAAUCUAAUGAAAAUCUAAAUAAAUUGUACAAUCAGGCAA